rnacentral:lncRNA from 1 species
GACCCUCCUGAAUAUCUAGUCGGCUCUGUUGCAGAUGAAGAUGCGCACCGGCCUAAACUGCGGUCUGAAAUCCUACCAUCUACACCUCGUCUUCGAACCACUACAAAAAAAUAUUAUAACAAAAUAAUUAAAAAUAAAAAAAAUAAAAAAAAAUAAACAAAAAAAAACGCACCGGAACACUUCUUAAAAGAGUUCCGGUGUGGAAAAAAAU